AGAGUUUGAUCCUGGCUCAGGAUGAACGCUGGCGGCGUGCCUAACACAUGCAAGUCGAACGGGGACAGACGGAAACCUAGUGAAGUCUGUCCGAGUGGCGGACGGGUGAGUAACGCGUGGAUAACCUGCCGCAUGCAGGGGGAUACCGGCUGGAAACAGCCGCUAAUACCGCAUAAGCGCACGGUGCCGCAUGGCAGAGUGCGAAAAGGAGAAAUCCGGCAAGCGAUGGAUCCGCGUCCGAUUAGCCAGUUGGCGGGGUAAGGGCCCACCAAAGCGACGAUCGGUAGCCGGCCUGAGAGGGCGGACGGCCACAUUGGGACUGAGACACGGCCCAGACUCCUACGGGAGGCAGCAGUGGGGGAUAUUGCACAAUGGGGGAAACCCUGAUGCAGCGACGCCGCGUGGGUGAAGAAGUAUUUCGGUAUGUAAAGCCCUAUCAGCAGGGAAGAAAGAAGACGGUACCUGACUAAGAAGCCCCGGCUAACUACGUG
rnacentral:rRNA from 1 species